UAGCGACCGCCUUAAUCGGUUAUGUCGCUAUGCGGGAUGCCGCGUAUGGGAAGUUCGCAGAGUGGCUUACGGCUCGUCUAAGUACCUAUUGAACAUAGUCCAAGUACCCAUAGAGGGUGUAAGGCCCGUUCGACGAGUCGUAAGUGUCUCCCGCGUUCUUCUCGAGAGUCGGGUUGCUUGAAAAUGCAGCCCUAAGAGGUGGUAAACUCCAUCUAAGGCUAAAUACUACCACGAGACCGAUAGCGAACAAGUACCGCGAGGGAAAGUUGAAAAGAACUUUGAAGAGAGAGUUCAAUAGAGCGUGAAACUGCCACGAGGUUAAAGCGGAUGGACAGUCGUGGCAGAACCGGGGAAUCAGUCCCCCAAGCGUUCGACGCGACGACCGACUCCUCGUGCCCUGUUGGUACUCGUUACCAGCGUCCGUCGUGAAAGGGUUUCCUCGUUACAGGGGGGUUGUCCUUUCCCCUUAGUAAGCCGUCGCGGACGUUGCGGCGUUGUCGAUACCCCUGAGUUCGGGAACCGAUCCUUAAAGCCGCGAGUACGGGCCGGGGACGCUCCAGGGAAUAAGACGGACCUCGCGACGUUUCAAUGAAGGGACGGGUCGGUCUUUUGGUUUUCUUUUUCUCCCCGAAUUCCGACCCGUACGCGGCGCAUAUACGGCGCACGUCCAUCCGUCCCGUCUUGAAACACGGACCAAGGAGUCUAGCAAGUACGCGAGUCAUAAGGGUUCACUAAACCUUGAUGGCGUAACGAAAGUAAUGUUUGUUGUUUUCGAUGGGUUGUCAACCCCAGUUGGACCGAUCCCCGCUGCCGAAUAAAGGGGCGCAGGUCCAGGGCCCGCCAUUGAAGACGAUAGGCGGGUUCCAAGAGCGUACGUGCUAGUACCCGAAAGAUGGUGAUCUAUGCCUGGCCAGGACGAAGCCAGAGGAAACUCUGGUGGAGGUCCGUAGCGGUUCUGACGUGCAAAUCGAUCGUCGGAGCUGGGUAUAGGGGCGAAAGACCAAUCGAACCAUCUAGUAGCUGGUUCCCUCCGAAGUUUCCCUCAGGAUAGCUGGUGCCCGAUAUAAAAGGAGUUUCAUCCUGUAAAGAGAAUGAUUAGGGGUCCUUGGGGAUGAAAUUUCCUCAGCCCAUUCUCAAACUCUAAAUGGGUGAGAUGCCUGGCUUACUUUGAAUGAAGCCAAGGCUACGAAUCCGGGUGCACCAAGUGGGCCAUUUUUGGUAAGCAGAACUGGCGCUGUGGGAUGAACCAAACGCCGAGUUAAGGGGCCUAAGUAUACGGCUCAUUUCAGAUUCCCUGAAAGGCGUUGGUCGCUCAUGACAGCAGGACGGUGGCCAUGGAAGUCGGCAUCCGCCAAGGAGUGUGUAACGACUCACCUGCCGAAGCGACUAGCCCUGAAAAUGGAUGGCGCUCAAGCCGAUCCCCGAUACUCGGCCGUCGGUGGCAAUGAAUAGAUAGAGUCUCGAAGCCCCGACGAGUAGGAGGGCGCGACGGUGAGCGCAGAAGGUUAUGGCGUGAGCCUAACUGGAGCCGCCGUCGGCGAAGAUCUUGGUGGUAGUAGCAAGCACUCGGCUGAGAUCAGCCAAUACCUCGACCGAGGACUGAUGCGGAGGAGGGUUCCUCGUCAACUGCAAUUGAACGAGGGUUAGUCGGCCCUAAGUCCCCGGCUAGCGCCCCUUUGAGGGCACGGCACGUGGGGCGAAAGGGAAUCCGGUGAAUAUCCCGGAACCUGGCGUGGGAAAUACUUUGAACUUAAGGUCCUCCGUUAGCUCCUGGUAACAGGAGUCUGAGUCACGUUCGUCGGUUUCGGCCCGGGGAGGAGCUCUAUCUUUUCUUCAUAAGGCGUCGUGGAACCUGGAAUCAGCCCGCUGGGAGAAAGGUUCGAGAUAUAUCACACGACAGCCGCCGAAGAGCGUCGCGGAUGCUGCGACGUCCCGAGCGCCGAAACCGGCCCAUGAACAGAUGGCCGCGGUGUUUCUUAUUAUGGUUCAAACCUC
rnacentral:rRNA from 1 species